UAUUCACACUCUUUGGGUCCAUAAUAUAUAUAUGGCUAAGCUGCUAUAAUCGGAAACUCUAGAAAUGCUUUAGAAUAGGGAUAUAGUUCCCUAACAAAUUCCAUAUUCUUUUGGAAGUGCAGGAAAGGGGGAAGUUUUUACUUCUAAAACUUUGAGGAAUGAGGAGUUUUUACAGUAGAUCAUAAUCUUAGCAAUGUAAAUUUUCUAAGAUAUUCUUUUUGCCUUUGUUUUUAUGCAACAUAAUGUUAGUCUAUCUGUUGAUUUUUGAAAUCCAUUUUAAGCUUGAGAUGCUCAAAUAUCUCAAAACUAAGUGCACACGAGUUUCACAUCUAGAUAAGAGCCGAAAAGCAUUGAGAAAUGUUAUUCCUCAUUGCAUAGUAUAGUAUUAUUUUAUUGUAUUGAUUAUUUGAUCAAAUAUCUAGUAUUUUAAUUCUAAAUCUCUGCAUAAAAUCUAGGUUAAGUUUGAGAAGUGUACAGUGGAGGAUUUACCUAAAGGGUGGAUCAAGAAGACCAAAAUUACAAGGAAUGCAAAUGGAAUCAGAAAAGACCCGGUAAGAGUUUGUGAGAAUGUUUGUAAGUCUAUUAUUAUAUAAGAUUUUGAAGGAAUGGCAAUCUUCCCUACCCUGGCAGGUGCUUGAUCCUCCUUGUUAAGACAAGGCCAGUACCCUUACCUGCCAUGCUAUACCCAUUACCAUACAUGUGCUUGUUUAGUAGAAAAAUUUUGUGGGAAACAACAUAUCUUGCCCUCCCUAACGGAGAAAAUAAAUUGACGUUAACCAGUGCCCUCUUGCUACAGUAUUUUACAGAUCCAGUAAAUGGAUAUGUCUUCCGAUCCAAAAGGGACGUUCUACGCUAUCUAGAAAUGGGAGAAAUUAGUAGACAUGCAUUUUUGCCAAAGAAAAGACACAUCGAUGAAAAAACUUUGUCAUCAUCUGCAGCUAAAAGGCAGAAACUAAAGCGCACUGCUACUUGGGAACAGCUAACCUCCACUGCACUGAUGUGGACGAACUCACUCAUGCAGGUAAGGGGACUUCUGAUGUGGGCAGCACUUCAUCUUCAGAAGCUGAGUCCUUAAAGAAAAGCGGAGGCAAAACUGUAUCCACUGUAACUACACUUACUGCGGUUGCCACAAUUGAUAUACCUUCACAAGAGAUUCCAAGAGAUAAUGUGGAGGGUAAUGGAGCUGAAUGCAAGGAAAACUAUAAUGGAAAAUGGUCAGCACAAACAAAGGCUGAAGUUUCUGAGAGAAACCAAGACAAAACCAUCAGCCCUGUUGGUGGCCAUGGACUUUUAUUUCCGGAAGCUGAUAACAAGCAAGAGCAGAACUUGCCUGAGAGUGGGACAAGGAGGGAUGAAAGCUACAAAAGAAAAGCUCAGAAUAGUUUGAGCAAGUUCAGUAACAAGAAAAGUCUUGACUUGCCUCGUCGUUUUUCGAAGCGACUAGCUGCGAUUGAACCUGAGCUGGUAGGCAAUGCAAGUUCCUUUGUUCAAGCAAUUCCUAAAGCUGGUAAUAAGCAAGAGCAGAACUUUCCUGAGAGUGGGAUAAAAGGGGAUAAAAUUUACGAAGGAAAAACUCAGAAUAGUUUGAGUGAAUCCAAUAAUGAUAAAGGGCUUAACUUGCCUCAUCAGUCUUCAAAGUGUCUUGAUGAGAUUGAACACAAGCGAGUGGUCAACUUAGUGUCCAUUGUGCAAGCUCGUCCAAAUCCAAAAUCUAUUAGGUCUCCGAAUGGUGCUAUGGGUUUGACUUCAGAUGUUUUGGCAGAAAAAACAUCUGAGCAAAUGGAGGAUGAACCCAUAACAGAGCUUCUGCAUCAUGCUGCUGCUAAUACUAAUAAUCCUUUAUUUCGAGAGCCAUCAAACAAGAGCCAAAACACUCAUUCUGACCUGCCAAAGGCCAGAGUUUCUGACUUAAAUCAAUGUAAAUUGGUUAGUGCUGACAAAGGACCUUUCUUAACUCCUGAAGCUGAUGUUCAGAGUGGGAUGAAAGGGAAGGGCCAAGAAAAAACACAGAAUGGUUUGAGCAAACCAAGUGAUAAGAAACUAAAGAAAGGGAUGAACUUGGCUCGUCGGUCUUCAAAACGAAUUGCAGGUCUUGAACCUGAGGUGGUAGCCAACACAGGGUCCAGUGCACGUGCUCUUCAAAAUGCAAAAAGAUCUUGUAAAACUGAAGCCAUCCUAGCUGUGGGUUUGACUUCAGAUGCUUUGGCAGACAAAGCAUCUCAGCAGCUUGGUGCUGAAUCUAGAACUGAGUUUCCAAAUCAUGCUUUGACUGAUGUCAAGAACCAAGUGUCUUUUCAGGACACAGCUGUUUCCAAGCACCAAUCGCAAGUGCAGGAAACUGACAAAACUAAUGAUGAGAAUUCAGAACCACAGCUUAUCCCUCCAUUUGGGGAGUUCUGGUCGGACCCUUGCCUUGAAUUUGCAUUCAAGACUCUUACAGGUGAAAUACCCAUUGAGAUUACUGCUGAAAAUGGGCUGGUUUCGACUCCUGCGGCUGAUAUUUUAGAUGAGAGGAACUUGCACAUGAGAAAGAUAGAUAAAAGUAGCAAUGGAGAAACUCUGAUCAGCUCAGACAAAUACAAAAACAGUAAAAAGCUUCAUUUUCCUCAUCAAUCUCUAGAACAACUUUCAGAGCCUCAAUGUGUACCAAUGGGAAGCUCAGUCUCCGAUGAGUGUGCUUUUAAAAUGACAGCUAGACCAGCUAGAAAAUGUAGUAAAGUUAAAGCUGUUCUGGAUGUGGGUUCUCAGGACAAUCUGACAAUUGAUGCUUCUCAGCAGCUCAAGGCUGGGCCAGAAGCAGCACAUACACAUUAUUGUUCUCUAAAUGUAACGACUGCGCCUCAAAUUGAGCCCUCAAAUAACAGGUUAGAGCACCUUAAUGACUGCAAUGCAACUGAACAGCAUUCACGUAAGUUGGAAAUUGAGAAGACUGUCAACAAGCCAGAGUUACAGCCUCACUUUCCCUUUGGGGAUUAUUGGUCAGACCCAU
rnacentral:misc_RNA from 1 species